rnacentral:rRNA from 1 species
UACGUAGGGGGCUAGCGUUGUCCGGAUUUAUUGGGCGUAAAGAGCUCGUAGGCGGCCUGUUGCGUCCGCUGUGAAAGCCCGGGGCUUAACCCCGGGUCUGCAGUGGAUACGGGCAGGCUAGAGGUAGGUAGGGGAGAAUGGAAUUCCCGGUGUAGCGGUGAAAUGCGCAGAUAUCGGGAGGAACACCAGUGGCGAAGGCGGCUCACUGGCCCGAUACUGACGCUGAGGUGCGAAAGCGUGGGGAGCAAACAGG